CGCCCCGUGGCAGCUCCCAACUGGGCUACAGCAGUGCCUGUCCAGGCAGGUUGUGAUCCAAGCCCCUACGCCUUCCAGAAGCCCUUCCCCUCUCUGACGACGGGCCGGUGUCCUCCGUAAGCGGACCGGUUCGGGUGCCCGACACACCUAGAUUCUGGUUUGAGCUGUUAUAGUUGCUAGCUGUGCGGUCUCCAGAAACUUCUCCCACCCCCUUGGACCCGGGUUGCCUUUUCUGUGAAGUGGGACUGGGAAUCUCUGUUCUGCCUACCUUCUAGGGUUAUUUUGAAGAGGAGAAAAAGACGCUACACAUUCAUUGCAUCAUUUACGAAACGGAGAUUGAUCACUCAGCCGUGUGCCAGCCGCUGGAGAUGAAAGGCCGUCGUUCAACUGUAACGUGUUAUACAAAUAGGACGCUGUCCUCCGGUGCGGAAAAUUCACGACCCGCUGGGUCAGACUGAGGGUGUUUGCUCUGCUUCCCUCACCUGUCUUCUCUCCUGGUAAGAGUGACAGCUAGCUACCCGAGUACUGCCCGCUCACAAACGUUCAGGGCAAAGCUAGCUCUAGUAAGAGAAUUUCAUAAAUGGAAAACAUCAGCUGGCAUUAGAAAGAUCUACGGUGACGAAACCUCUGUGUUUUUGGAAGCCUCACUAUCUUGCACCAGAAGGCCGUCCGUGAGGGUAUGGUCAGUGACAUUUUUCCUAUUUGCUGCAGCAUUGACAAGCAGGGCCCCAGACCGAGGACAAAGAGGAGAGCAUCACAAAUUGGCCAACGUUGGACAAUGGAGUAACAGGAGCAAAGCAUCACUCCAGGUGGGCAGGCAGGAAACAGCUGGCUGGGAAAGGCGCCCAUGACCCCUUGCCCCAGUCCACCCUUGGCCUGGAAGAAGUCAGACCGGAAGUGGCCAGGGAACUUGCAAGACCUGCAAAGAGCCGAGGGAGAGAAAGACACAGUCUGAGUGGAGGAAAGGCAGAGAAAGGGAGAGAGAGAGCAUUUCAAGCAGUCUCAACACUGUCGGCGCAGAACUCGAUGCUGGGCUCGAACCGACGAACCACGAGAGCAUGACCCGAACUAAAGAGUCUGACGCUUAAUGGACUGAGCCAUCUGGGCGCCCCUCCGCUGCAGCAUCUUGAACCUUUUGAAGGGGACCUGUCCUUGUCUAGCACCUGAUGUCCUGUAGACUAAGAAAAAGCAAAAGUCAUCAGCUGUAUUCUCAGGGAGCUGUUCUAAUAUUUCCCCACCUUGAAGCCUAUGGUGAUGCUUGCUUCCCUGCCUUGCUAUUCUGCAUUCCCUUGCUAUUCUGCAUUCUUUCCUUCCUGCUUCCCUCCAGCCACAUCCAAUUUUGUGUCCUCAGAAGUGGACGGCAGACCAAUUUUGGGCUUCAUGAUUUCGUUCUGGCUCACUACUGCCCACUCCAUUUUCCUUCCCCUCGUUAAAUGCUACCUCUUCUUGUGCAGUGGACCGGUAACUCACUAUGUCUUAGAUCAAGCAACUCUAAGAAUAGUGGGUGUCAAGAACAGUGCUAAGGAAAGGAGUUGGCUCUGAGUGGAUUUGCCCAUGUGGGAAAGCAGUGAGGUGAGGAGAUUUAGGAGACAUCUGGUUAAUGCCAGUAAUUUAGAGAUUCAUGUGCCGUGACUGGCUUCCAGAAACCUCCUGGGCUGACUUCAUCGAGUUUCUGGGAAUGUCUCUCUGGUUCAGGAUUGAUUUGUGAUGAGACUCACUUUCCAGCAAUGAAGAGAGAGAAGAAAGGAAGAACGAUAGAAAAAUUUGUCUUCCAGAUUCAUGAGAGACGGCUAAGAAAGGAAAGAGAUGACCCGAGCCAAGGACCGAGGAGCUCUAGGGCAGUGUGUGAGGAAACCGCCUCACCUCAGCAUUCAAGAUGGGGACGCCAUCUUCGCGGGCCUUCACUGUGCCCUUGCUAUUUGCCUACUGGGUGGCCAAAGACGAGGCCUUUCUGGACUUGUGAAAUGAAGACCCCAGAAGGUCCUGCAUGUUUGUGGCCUGCUGUCCACUUCUGAGGAACCAGCUCCUUCCCUGGCCUAGGAUACUCCUCCUUGUUGACCAUUUUUGCCUUAUGCUUCUUGUCUUCCUUGUCCCAGUUCAAAUUGUGUAUGGUAUUCUCAACUAUGACGUUCUAUUACCUCUAACUGAUCUCCAGUAGUGUAUUAAAUUUUCAAAACUAAGUCUCUGUGUUGUAGAACAGUAGCAUUUGUCAAAGAUAUACCCGGAACGGCCUUGGGUCAGUGCUUCCUUUGAAGCUUAAUGAUCUAGAGGUACCUGGAGACAAAGAUUUACUUUUUUAUUCACUCUAUCUUUUUCUUAAAAACAUUUUGAUAAGUUUGUGCUAGCACCUCGCACAAUCUUAGAGCUUCUCUCUGCCAUAUUUUUAAACUUUUCUUGAAAAAAAGAGUGCAGGUUGAAUCACUGUGUUAUACAGCUGACACCAACACAACAUUGUAUGCCAACCGUACUCCAUUUUUUUAAAAAGAAAUUGUAUAAAUAAGCUUCUGAGCCUUUUGAAAAUAAUG